GGGUACUACGAGCAUUAGCUUAAAACCCAAAGGACUUGGCGGUGCUUUAGAUCCCCCUAGAGGAGCCUGUUCUAGAACCGAUAACCCCCGUUCAACCUCACCUUCUCUUGCCUUUCCCGCCUAUAUACCGCCGUCGUCAGCAUACCCUGUGAAGGAUCCAUAGUAAGCAGAAUUGGUAGAACCCAAAACGCCAGGUCGAGGUGUAGCAUAUGAGAAGGGAAGAAAUGGGCUACAUUUCCUUCCCCAGGAAAUACGGACUGUGCCAUGAAACAGCACACGAAGGAGGAUUUAGCAGUAAGGGGAGAAUAGAGUGCUCCCCUGAACCCGGCCCUGAAGCGCGCACACACCGCCCGUCACUCUCCCCAAGCCGUAAUAACUUUUUUUUAAAGCCUGCAAUAAGGCAAAGGGGAGGCAAGUCGUAACAUGGUAAGUGUACCGGAAGGUGCACUUGGAAAAAU
rnacentral:rRNA from 1 species